ACCUUAUCGACAAUUGGGAAGACACCUGGUUAAGACUUCCCUUCAGGUGUUGACACUACAACGAGAGACUGAUAAGGUCAUGGUGAAAAGGCAGAGAACAGCUUUCCCACCAAAUUUUGUACAUUCUCUUGAUGGUUCUCACAUGAUGAUGACUGCAGUUGCCUGCAAACAGGCAGGCUUGAGUUUUGCAGGGGUGCAUGAUUCAUACUGGACGCACGCAUGUGACGUCGAAGAAAUGAACAGAAUACUCAGGGAAAAGUUUGUAGAACUCUACGGGGAGCCAAUCUUGGAAAAUGUGAAGA